GAUGAACGCUGGCGGCGUGCCUAAUACAUGCAAGUCGAGCGAACAGACGAGGAGCUUUCUCCUCUGACGUUAGCGGCGGACGGGUGAGUAACACGUGGAUAACCUACCUAUAAGACUGGGAUAACUUCGGGAAACCGGAGCUAAUACCGGAUAAUAUAUUGAACCGCAUGGUUCAAUAGUGAAAGACGGUUUUGCUGUCACUUAUAGAUGGAUCCGCGCCGCAUUAGCUAGUUGGUAAGGUAACGGCUUACCAAGGCAACGAUGCGUAGCCGACCUGAGAGGGUGCUAGGCCACACUGGAACUGAGACACGGUCCAGACUCCUACGGGAGGCAGCAGUAGGGAAUCCUCCGCAAUGGGCGAAAGCUUGACGGAGCAACGCCGCGUGAGUGAUGAAGGUCUUCGGAUCGUAAAACUCUGUUAUUAGGGAAGAACAAAUGUGUAAGUAACUAUGCACGUCUUGACGGUACCUAAUCAGAAAGCCACGGCUAACUACGUG
rnacentral:rRNA from 1 species